UACGUAGGGCGCAAGCGUUAUCCGGAAUUAUUGGGCGUAAAGAGCUCGUAGGCGGUUUGUCGCGUCUGCCGUGAAAGUCCGGGGCUCAACUCCGGAUCUGCGGUGGGUACGGGCAGACUAGAGUGAUGUAGGGGAGACUGGAAUUCCUGGUGUAGCGGUGAAAUGCGCAGAUAUCAGGAGGAACACCGGUGGCGAAGGCGGUUCUCUGGGCAUGACCUGACGCUGAGAAGCGAAAGCAUGGGGAGCGAACAGG
rnacentral:rRNA from 1 species